GACGAACGCUGGCGGCGUGCAUAACACAUGCAAGUCGAACGGAAAGGCCCUGCUUUUGUGGGGUGCUCGAGUGGCGAACGGGUGAGUAACACGUGAGUAACCUGCCCUUGACUUUGGGAUAACUUCAGGAAACUGGGGCUAAUACCGGAUAGGAGCUCCUGCUGCAUGGUGGGGGUUGGAAAGUUUCGGCGGUUGGGGCUGGACUCGCGGCUUAUCAGCUUGUUGGUGGGGUAGUGGCUUACCAAGGCUUCGACGGGUAGCCGGCCUGAGAGGGUGACCGGCCACAUUGGGACUGAGAUACGGCCCAGACUGCUACGGGAGGCAGCAGUGGGGAAUAUUGCACAAUGGGCGGAAGCCUGAGGCAGCAACGCCGCGUGCGGGAUGACGGCCUUCGGGUUGUAAACCGCUUUCGCCUGUGACGAAGCGUGAGUGACGGUAAUGGGUAAAGAAGCACCGGCUAACUACGUG
rnacentral:rRNA from 1 species